CAUUGGAACCAACACAGAGACCUUCAGUUGAGGAUGUGCUUUGGAACUUACAAUUUGCUGCUCAAGUCCAAGAAUCUUGGAGGGGAGACUCUCAAAGUAGUGAGGAAUCAUCACUUUCACCUUCCCAGCCGCCUCAAUCACCAAUCAUACUGAAUUAGGAACACGAAAUAUAACAUGAUAGUUGAUCGGCUUCUCAUUCCCAAGCAGCUAGGAUCAAGGAUUGAAGCCUGUAAAUGUGUUGGUCUUGACAAAACUGAUGAGUGUUAUGAAGAUACCUAUCCAUCAAUCACCAUUAGAUGGGGUCUUCAAUAUUUUUACUGUCUCAACCUGAAGUUCCAAUCUAACUUCACCAGAGAAAGAAAUCCUGCAAGAUGAAUAUCAGAUUUCAUGUCUAUCCUCAAUUUGUACUUACCCUAGGAAUAUUCUUCUUCCUUUUCGACAUGGCCCCAUGUUAUUAUAAAUUCAAACAUGGGCAAUGACUAAGAACAUCCAUGAUGUCUUGCAUGACUUUGCAUUGGCAAGAGCUGUGUGCAUUGGGUUGUCUUCUUAUGAUAUCUUCUUCCUAUG